AGAGAGAGAGAUUUAACAUGUGAAAGUGAACCAACGAUUGUGUGAAAGUGAACCACUUUUGUACGCGUCCCUAUUGGUUCACUUUGAAAAGCGCCGAUUCUGCCGAUGUUCCACUUUCACUUGUGUAAAACUGAACCAAAUAUGAUAUGGAGCGCUGUCGUAUGCGCACUCCGUACGUCAUAUUAUUGAUUUAUUUUGUAUUUCUUCAAUCUAAUUGAAUAUAUCAGUUCGGAAUCGUCUUUGAAAUUUUCGAAAAAGAAAUUCAUAGUUUUAGGUUUAACUAUUUCACUUUAUUUUUGUUUAAAUAUUAUUUUGAAUAGUUUAAAGUCAUUAUUCGACCUGAAUGUAAAUCGCUGACGAAUUUUUCGAAAGCUACGAGUUUAAUUCAAAUUUAUCUGUUGGAUAUCUGCUAGUAGUCACUAUGGAAGGAAGUAAGAUAAUUUCUGUUCUGGGUGGAGAUGCAGAUCUUUUUGGUGCUGAAGAGACACCGGUUGAGACGCCAGUGAAAAAGAAGAAACAAAGCAAUUGCUGCCUGAAGCCAGUAUGUAGCCAGUAUAGCCCAACCAGGAGUGAACAGAGCAGGCCAGAUGAGGAAAUGCCCCAUGCAUAUUUCUAUAUGUGUCGAUGCAAAGUGCUUGAAAGAGUUUUAUUGGAUUUUCAUUUAACAUUCCAAUCUGAUUACACUUGCUUUUUACAUCUGGGGACCAACCUUUACUAACACCAUCUGUAAAACCUGACCCAGUUUCGAACCAUUGGAGUUGGUUGAUAAGUGAACAAAGAUAGCCGUUCUCAAGACAGACGCUACACUAGUCUUGUUGGGAUAGAAACAAAGUGAUAACAACCACCGUCAAAAUAUGGCAAUUAGUGCCAAGGAUCUACUAUCACGUGGUCACAGAUCUACUGUAAAGGUCUUGAAGUUGGUGAGCUUGAUUACUACAGUGUUGAUUGAUAAUGGAUGCUUGAUAGUCAUGAAGAAAUGGCACUGUGACAUGUACUCCCAAUUUGGAAUUUGGAACGUGUGUUCUGUUUAUGCUACAGCAUCACAUUUAGUUUGUGAAAUGCCAAUGUCCUGGUGAACUGAACAAGCUUCAUCUCAAGUCCUUCCAGACUUUGUUUUUGAUGGUUGAAAAGCAUACCCCUCAACGUUGAUCGUUUGACCUCAAUGAUGCAGUGAUGUCGUGCUCCUGGCUGUUGUUGACUCACUCCAAAAGUCUACAUGUAUGCAGAACAAAUUGGAAUUAAGAGAAGGGAUGCUACUGCACAUUGAUAGCUCUGUCAGCAUUUGGAAUACUAUCCAUGAAUCUUUAAAUUUAGAUGAUUUUCAUUUUUAUAUGAAUUCACUUUUUGUUUUGUUUUGUUCACCCCAGAUCAUGGUUCUCUUGAAAGUUGAAACCCAUGAAGCUCAUACUUAGUAUGGAUUCUUAAAGUUAUGUAGACUAUCUCUUGUGUUAAGAAUAAAAUGUUUUACCUAAGACCUCAAAACUCAAAGUAAAAAAGCAAAUAAUUUUGAACUUUCUUAGUGACAUUAUACUACACAAGGGAAAUUCUUAGGUUGGAGCAGCGAGGUGAAAGGUGAAUCAUUGUUAUAUAUGUAGCAAUAUAGUUUUAACAUUUAUAAUUCAUGCACAUGUACAAAAUUUAGGGUGUUUGUGACCACAUACAUUUUUUUUCCAGGAGUCUUCUGUCUCGAUUACAUGAAGGUUGCAUUGUACAUCAACUGUGUGCCUCUAAGACAAUCCAAAUAAUGUAGAAAUUAUUAAAACGUAUUUUGUACGCUUCAUCCUCUUCUGGGGGACUUUUGGAAAAGAAUAUCAUCUCUUUUGUACACAAAUUACAGUGCCGAAAUAAGUUCAUGAGGUUAUAAUGAACAUUUUUGAUCAUACAACAAUUUAUUUUUAAAGUCAUGUGAUAUCCUUAAAAGCAAUAUGAUGUUCUCUAGUUAAUUCCCUAUUUCAUAUUCAUUUGUGAGUAACUUGAGAUCAGUUUUUAAGUUGUCAUUCUAUAUUUCUUUAUUUAAAAUACUGAAUUUUCCGUUUUCUUUUUUAAUUCUUUAUAUCGACCAAUGAAUGAUGGACUUCGGCUUAGCAAUAUAUCAGCUCAAUUUAUUUGGUAUUUUCUAACUUUUAUUAAUCUACACCUGUAAAUGUACUUAUAACAACCAUUUAUAACAUGUACACAAUGAAAUUUCCUAGAAUAGCUACUCUAGAGUGCUGGUCAAAAUGUGUUUUGAAUAUAAGAGGGAGCAUGUAGCAGUGCUAAUCAUGUUAUUAUAUGAGGCAUCUUAUUAUGUGUGGUUAAAGAAAAUCAUAGUAUACAAAGACUUCCGCCCAGGUUAAUAAUUUUGUUACAUGUACAUCCAAUUAUUAGCAGUGGUAAUUAUGUUACUUUGUUUGCCAACUUUCCUUAACACAAUUCAACUGAGUUUGAUAUUAUACAAAGUUGUCGAGAGAAGUUCUGGUUAAAACUAUGCGCAAGAGGUUACUCCAAUAGACGAGUUGGAGUCACCGAGGACCGUAGUUUUAACCAGUACCUCGAAAAGAGGGCAUAGUAUAUUUGUUUUAUAUCCUGCAUCAAAACAUUAAUUUAAGAUUAAA